rnacentral:rRNA from 1 species
UUGAGUUUGAUCCUGGCUCAGGACGAACGCUGGCGGCGUGCUUAACACAUGCAAGUCGAGCGGUAAGGCCUUUCGGGGUACACGAGCGGCGAACGGGUGAGUAACACGUGGGUGAUCUGCCCUGCACUUCGGGAUAAGCCUGGGAAACUGGGUCUAAUACCGGAUAUGACCUCAGGUUGCAUGACUUGGGGUGGAAAGAUUUAUCGGUGCAGGAUGGGCCCGCGGCCUAUCAGCUUGUUGGUGGGGUAAUGGCCUACCAAGGCGACGACGGGUAGCCGACCUGAGAGGGUGACCGGCCACACUGGGACUGAGACACGGCCCAGACUCCUACGGGAGGCAGCAGUGGGGAAUAUUGGACAAUGGGCGAAAGCCUGAUCCAGCCAUGCCGCGUGUGUGAAGAAGGUCUUCGGAUUGUAAAGCACUUUAAGUUGGGAGGAAGGGCAGUUACCUAAUACGUGAUUGUUUUGACGUUACCGACAGAAUAAGCACCGGCUAACUCUGUGCCAGCAGCCGCGGUAAAAUC